rnacentral:rRNA from 1 species
CGGGACACGUGGUAUCCUGUCUGAAUAUGGGGGGACCAUCCUCCAAGGCUAAAUACUCCUGACUGACCGAUAGUGAACCAGUACCGUGAGGGAAAGGCGAAAAGAACCCCGGCGAGGGGAGUGAAAAAGAACCUGAAACCGUGUACGUACAAGCAGUGGGAGCACAGAGCAAUCUGUGUGACUGCGUACCUUUUGUAUAAUGGGUCAGCGACUUAUAUUCUGUAGCAAGGUUAACCGAAUAGGGGAGCCGAAGGGAAACCGAGUCUUAACUGGGCGUUAAGUUGCAGGGUAUAGACCCGAAACCCGGUGAUCUAGCCAUGGGCAGGUUGAAGGUUGGGUAACACUAACUGGAGGACCGAACCGACUAAUGUUGAAAAAUUAGCGGAUGACUUGUGGCUGGGGGUGAAAGGCCAAUCAAACCGGGAGAUAGCUGGUUCUCCCCGAAAGCUAUUUAGGUAGCGCCUCGUGAAUUCAUCUCCGGGGGUAGAGCACUGUUUCGGCAAGGGGGUCAUCCCGACUUACCAACCCGAUGCAAACUGCGAAUACCGGAGAAUGUUAUCACGGGAGACACACGGCGGGUGCUAACGUCCGUCGUGAAGAGGGAAACAACCCAGACCGCCAGCUAAGGUCCCAAAGUCAUGGUUAAGUGGGAAACGAUGUGGGAAGGCCCAGACAGCCAGGAUGUUGGCUUAGAAGCAGCCAUCAUUUAAAGAAAGCGUAAUAGCUCACUGGUCGAGUCGGCCUGCGCGGAAGAUGUAACGGGGCUAAACCAUGCACCGAAGCUGCGGCAGCGACGCUUAUGCGUUGUUGGGUAGGGGAGCGUUCUGUAAGCCUGCGAAGGUGUGCUGUGAGGCAUGCUGGAGGUAUCAGAAGUGCGAAUGCUGACAUAAGUAACGAUAAAGCGGGUGAAAAGCCCGCUCGCCGGAAGACCAAGGGUUCCUGUCCAACGUUAAUCGGGGCAGGGUGAGUCGACCCCUAAGGCGAGGCCGAAAGGCGUAGUCGAUGGGAAACAGGUUAAUAUUCCUGUACUUGGUGUUACUGCGAAGGGGGGACGGAGAAGGCUAUGUUGGCCGGGCGACGGUUGUCCCGGUUUAAGCGUGUAGGCUGGUUUUCCAGGCAAAUCCGGAAAAUCAAGGCUGAGG